CAAAAAUGAAAGACAAGAAUACAAGAAUUUAACAUAGCACAAUAACACAAUGACAGGAUAUAUAACAGAGUCAUGUCAUGUGUAACAAAGAAAAAUUAAAAGGCAUAUAGGCAAGCACAUUAGCAAAAAACGAAAGACAAGAAUACACAUGUUUUCUCUCCAUAACACAAUGAUGGGAUGUCACCAAAACAGACUUAACAGUAAUAUUCAUAAAGACAAACAAAAGAAGACUAUAACACGUUAUUAAAAUGAUAAACAUUGUCAGUGUACAGAAUUUAUACUGCAAGA
rnacentral:lncRNA from 1 species